GUUUGUGUUUCAGGAUCUUUUUAAGAUGGUGGCCAAGGCAAUAACUAAACAAGUCUACACAACAACAAAAGGUCUACCAACAUCAGGUAAAGAAGAAGCAAAACGAUUGGUUCGAGAAUUUAUGGAGGAUCACAAACAUAUCAGCGGCCAGUCAGAUUUAAAUGGAUGGCAGUGAAGACCAUUAAAUCAUAUUUAAAUUUAUAAAUUGAGACAUUUGAUUGCUGUAUUUUUUUUUCUCCAAGAGAAAAUAAUGUGUAUAAUUAAAGAAAUAAGAAAAAACUGAGAUCCAUGUUAUGUGGAUCCUAAUAUAUAAUUAUAUUUACACAUGAUUACUUCCUAACUCACACAACUAUGAAUAUUAAGUUCAUGCAUUACUGAUCUAUGCAUCUAUUGGAAGGUGUCCAUGAUAAUAAAUUUAGUCUUUGCCCCACCUAAUGCUAGCAAUUGGUUCUUAUAUUUAGAGAAAGAAAUAUAUACAUUUAAUAUUGGAUGCAUUUUUACUAUAAGUAGUGUAUAAUAAUAAUAUUUAGGCUUGUCUUUGAGUCCGAAGAUUAAGGAGGAAUGCAGUAUUUGCAGGUUUUCACAUAGCUAUGAAGUCUUAGUGUUGAUCUACAUCUUUUGCCACAUCCAGUACAUACAAAACUGGUAUCUGCUGGUGUUCCAUUUGUCUUUUCGACACAUGUUCUCGGCAGCAGAUUUUCUUUUGGUCAUAAAUGUAUAUACUGUAGCCUUUGUAAGAGAUCUCCAGCUGUCUCUUUACCGCCUGCUGCCAGGUGCAGGCUGGUGAUUGAGCUGGUCUUCAAAGAUUUUUUGGUCCGCACCUGUGUUAUGCAUACCACCUCUCAGUUGCAUCUACAAUUUUAAAAAAUCCAUUAAGUAAUUGUCUCAUUGUUUAGAAUGUUUAUAAAGUGGUGGUCAGUGUUAUGCAUAAUUAUAUACAUGUCAGACAACCCAUGCUGAAGAUGUUCAGUGAAAUGAACAGAUGGCCAGAGUAUUACAUGUAACUUGUAGAGAUAUCUACUUGCUCACAAAAUGUUGGUGUAUUUGAAAUGUUUUCAUUAUUAUGAAGAAGUCUUCAUUUGAUAUAAAAAAUAAAUGAUAUUUAUAGAUUCAUAUCUGAUGAUGUUUAAAUGGUUGCUAGAACACAGAAAGCAAGAUGAAUGAACAUUUCAUGUGAAUUAAUUACCUUAUUUUAUUUAGUUUAGAGUUUUGAAUAUUCAUUAUUUUCAUUUUUCUUCAUUUUCUUUGCUGUUCUCUAAUGAAAUUUGUCAAUGCAAGAAAUGUAUAUGUUGAUAUUGAAAAUAGUUAUUGUGCUUAUGGAAAAAGAACUCUUAACGUAAGUUGGUUGUUAUUGCAUAAAUAUAUAUUCAUAUAAAUAUAGUUAGUUGUUCUAAGAGUGGUACCAAAUAACAGAAGUGACCUUGAUGAACCUGCGAUUUUUCCAAGGCAGACAAAUUUGCAACUUAUGCCUGGAAUUGCAUUGAUGUCUUUUCCAUAUUUCUUGUGUUUUAAUAUUAAAUAUUUAAAAAAACAUCACCAUUGUUUGCUAUUCUAAGACCAGCAACACGAACCAUUUUUAAAUGGGAUUUGACUUACAAAGCUAAUCAGAAUUUAUUUUUUACCUCCCCUGGUCACAAUAUGCUUCUUACAACUUAUUUGAUAAAGUUUUUUUAUUUUCAAUUAAGUCAGGUACAGAUUUAUAGGCCUAGACUCUGAUCCUCCUGCACUGUUUGGCACAUAGGGUGGCAAGCUCUGUCCACAGAGAUUGGUUGCAGGCAACUUCCACAGCCUGCAUCUAGUGGCUACGAAGUUUAAGGUCUUCUAGAUCAUAGACAUAGGCUUCAGAUUCUUCUACACUAAUCUUUUUGUACAGAUAAAAAUAGUUCAUACACUCUGGAAAUAGUUUUACUUGAAGCUCAGUUUGUUAAGAAUUUAAAAAAAAAUGUAUUGGUGUCAUUAUUUAAUUUCUCCUAGUCAAAGUGAGACUGUGAUUAUCAUUAUCUUUUCAACAAUCAACAGAAUAGAUGGGAAAAUUACAUCUUUAGUCUUUGAUAAAGUUAUCUACAAAGCAUUAUAUUACGUUAUAUGAUUAAUAUAGGAAGUGGAAAUUUCUUAAAUUGAAAUUGUUUUGUUUUUUUUACCUGAAAGAUUUUAAAUAAUAAAAUAUUUAGUAAGCUUGAUCUAUAUUCUAUAGGAAUGACAUUAUUCAGAGGAAGUUACAUUAGAAUCAUGUCACAAGAUUUUUAAAGAUUUUUCUUUAAGAUAUUAUUAAUUUGAAAAAUAUACUUUUUUUUAAAGAUUGUUUUAUGAGAUUAAAAAGAAAUGUGCAAAUAGUACUAAUACCUUCCAAGAAUUUUAAUAAAGAAAGUUGUGAGCUUAAUUAUCUCACAGAAAUCAACACUUGGGGACAGCUUUGUUGUCAUCCAAAAAAACAAAUAUUCAUAGAUAAAAAACUAUAAAAAAACAAAAUUUUGCAAAUUUAAUUAUUUUUUAAAAAUGUAUUUUUGUUGUGUACAAAUAUAUGAAUUGCAGGUUAGCAGGCUUUAUAGGCUGAGGUUUAUUGCUAUAGUUACUUUUUCUCUAACAAGUUGACAUGUUUAAAGAUCACUGGCUGUUGUCUAGAAUUGAGAUAUUUGUUCUUUUUUUCUUGUUUUAAGAAUAUCUUUUUUUUUGUGUACUAUGGUGAUUUAGUUUAUCUUAUGACACAUAUGAUGAAACAUCAGAAAAAUAGAAUGCUUCUUGACAAGAAUAUAUGAUUAUGUACAUGAUCACAUUUUAUUUGUUUAGAAAAUAGUGGAUGUGUCCAAUCAUUAAAAUGACUGUUGGUAGAUCUUGGUAGAUAAACCUAUCUUAGCUUGCAAUUGCCUUGAAGUGCUUUUUUUUUUUAAACCCUUGCUGUCACUUUUUUUUCUUUGCCUUAAAGCCAAAAAUUCCAAGCGCAGCUCAGUGUGAAGCUUUUUUCUUCCAUACCUCCAAGUUAAAAUUAUGGUACAAGUUAUUUCACAUUUCUUAACUCUUUCUCUCCGUAAUUAUUUACCACAUUCUGAUGGAAUCAACAGUUUGUAUCGUCGGUUAGGAGAGAAAGAGUUAAUCAUUAUUAUUUUAUUUUGUAAGUAUUUUGUAGUUAUCCAAUGGACAUUCCCAAACGAGAUGAAACUGUUGUGCCUUGACCCAUUGAAUUUUAUGAUUGUUUAAAAAAAAAGUAUUAUGCAUUGAUAUUUUGUUUAUGCUUAUGAAUUUGUUGAGUGGUAGUUUUAGUGUUGUAUGAAGGUGUAGAAAUCUAGGACUGUCCUUCUAAUUGGAUAGAAUACACAGCCACAUAAUAUUUAUAUUCUCUGAAUGUAAUAUGAUUCUAUUUUAAACUGUAUUUUAUACUUCUGUGUGGAACAAAGUUUGAAAAACUAUUUAUGUUCUUACAACAUAACUAGUUAUAUGUGUAUGUGGUAAGAUUGAGUUUAUGUCAUUACCUGUACAGUUAGAAAUAGUAAUGUCAUAACUAUUUGUUAUCCAUAUGAAGAUUAUUGAUAUGUUAUGAUGUUGUACACUACUAAAUCUUGUAAUAUGUCAUAAUAUAGGAUUGUGUGCUGAGUUCCCAUUCAUUGGUAUUACAUUGACCUAAUUAUUUUGCAUGGGUUGGUAUUUGUGAAGUUGACGUUUUGAAACAGAUACAAUAAAACUUGUGAACAUUU
rnacentral:sRNA from 1 species